CAAUAGCGUAUAUUAAAGUUGUUGCAGUUAAAAAGCUCGUAGUUGGAUUUGUGGCGUACGGUGUGUUCCGGGCACUUGUUGUCUGAGUAACCUGCUGUUGCCAUCCUUGGGUGGAACCUGUGUGGCAUUAGGUUGUCGUGCAGGGGAUGCCCAUCAUUUACUGUGAAAAAAUUAGAGUGUUCAAAGCAGGCUUAUGCCGUUGAAUAUAUUAGCAUGGAAUAAUGAGAUAGGACUUUUUUGCUAUUUUGUUGGUUUGCGCAAAGAGGUAAUGAUUAAUAGGGACAGUUGGGGGUAUUCGUAUUCCAUUGUCAGAGGUGAAAUUCUUGGAUUUUUGGAAGACGAACUACAGCGAAAGCAUUUACCAAGGAUGUUUUCAUUAA
rnacentral:rRNA from 1 species